rnacentral:lncRNA from 10 species
CCAGAUGGGACAUCUAGUUGCAGGAAAACAAGCUCAGAGUUUCCACUGAUUCUACAUUAUGGUUCCAUGAAGAAGUUGUAAGUUGACCUUCUUGAAUUUUCAAGUCACAUGCUGGCAAUAUAUUUUUCACACAACACCCCACACAUUAUUCAGCUCUGGGGUCAUCUCUUAGACCACCUUACAUGAAUAUUUUUGUAGCAAAAAAUCACAAUUUCAAUAUUUAGGUGGCACCCAUUUUGCUUUGAUUCACACCAUUUCCUUGGAGCUAGUCAGAAAAUAGUCAAAUGACCUUCCAGUGACUGCACAAAACUUGGAAUCCUUCAAAAAUUGGUUCAGCCUCCUUAUGCAGGCACCAUGCUAAUUUUCUUUGUAUUGUUCCAAUUUUAGGAUAUGUGCUGCCUAAGCAAGCACAAAGCUCUACUUUUACACAUGGACAGUGAUGAGUCAUUGACAAGGUUUGGCUCUAAGUCCAACUAACCUACUUGAGAUCCUGAGAAAUCUCUUCAAUAUCUUCCAGUGAGGUAGAAUUUGAAAAUAUUUUUAAAUCUUGAGGAAGAGAUGCAAGUAGCUUGGGAGAUUCUCAUUAUUAUGGAAAAUGGAUCAUUCAAGGGGUCAACUAUAACUGGGUGCUCACUGCUCUGGGGAAGGUUAAUAUGGGACUUUCUACUGCCUAAGGUACUAUACACAAUAUAAAUGUGCCUCAGGGUACAGAUAUGGUAGCAAAGAAGAAUAAACAAACACUGACCUCUUUCUGCCACAUUAUUUGAACCUCUCUGACAGUUUAGAACAAGCCCAGCUAAUAUCUGCUAGAGAAAAGACCAACAUGGGACUCAAAGGAUCUCUUACCAUGACAGUCUCAGUUAAGUGUAGGAUAACAUGUGGGUUCCACAUCAGGUUUUGAAUGUGGGUGGAAGGGUCAAUUUGCUCACUUUGUGUGUGGAUAAAGCCAGGAUGCUAAGCUGCCAGAGCAGGGUGCUGGUGCUUUGGGAACAAUGGCUGAACACAUAGGCAUAGGUAUGUGAAUGUAAAAAAUUUUAUAACUUUGAAGUCCAUGUAUGGAUCACCAUGAAGACUUGAGGGAUUUGAAUCAGUAAGCGCAUCUUGAUGUCAAAGGCCAACCAUUACCAGGCAGCAGGACCAGUUUCAGUGGCAACGAUGCAGCAACAGAAUCAACAGAAACAAAAGAAUGAUUAAAAUGUCCUUUUUUUCUCCUCCUUAUGACUUGAAAAAAAGGACUGUCUUCCUUGGACUUAGUGAAUCCCUUUGGUUCUCAAAAAAUUCAGGGAGUAUAUAGGAGACAGUCCCCAGAAGACAGUACAAGACUUUCUCCUAAACUGAACAUUUCAAGACCCAAAUAACUAACUAGAAAAAUUAAAGAUAUGGCACUAUUUUUUAUCCCAUGCAUAGGUGUUAUACAUGGAAUGAAAUGAACAAUGUUGGAAUCUCUAAGGAUAAAGGUCUUAAAAGUCCCGAGAUAAAGAAUCCUGCACCCAUUGGUACUUCUAACUAGUCUAGUUUUUUGUUUCAUUUCUAGCUGAUGCAGUGGACUAAAUCAUAGCCACUCUAAAACUACCUGAAUCAAUCUAUCACAUCUCACCUGAUAUAUAAGAUGCAAUCAUUAUAAUUAUUUUAAACCUCAAUGUAGUUUUAACUAGACUUUUAAUGUAAACACUUACAUACUAUGAUGACUAGAAACUGCAUAAUCUUCAGCAGUUUGUCCAAAUACAUCUUGAGAAAAUACAUCAAUAUUUUGCUGAAGUAGAAGACUAACUAUACUUGCUGAUCCACAACGUACAGCAAGUAUGAGGGCAGUUCUAAAAUAAUAUAGAGAUAAUUUCUCCCUUAGGAACUUCAAGUGAUUUUAAAAGCUAAUUCAAUAUACUUUGCCAAUUUAAUAUCUUGCCCGUCCAUGCAGAAUUAAACAUUUACAUGUACUAAAAGACAUAAGCAUCUUGGGUGCUCAAGGGUUCAUCUUUAUAAAGUACCAUCAAGGUUAAAAGGAAGGGACAAAAAGGAAACCUCUUAUCUCAGUGGGGUAUUGCAUAGUAGCAGCUACUAAUUUAAAGGCCUUUGAUGGGCAAGAAACUAUGCUAGGGCUGCUUAUCUGAAGUAGACAAAGAUUUAAGUGAAGUUUUCUUCCCAGGUCCCUAGACUGAUACACUGUAAUAGAAAAUCAGCUAGGGAUCAGAUAAAUAAGAGCUAUCUGCAUGCUGAAAGCAGUAAUAACAAAUGGUAAGAAUAGUGGUCAUAGUGGUUUCAGUUAAUGAAUACCAAUAAGCAUGUGCUAGGCCCUGAAUUAAAUGCUAUAAAAAGAUAUAUAUAAAGAUAUAUAUAUAUAUAUAUCUUUCUUACUAUGCACAGCUAACUUUGAAGGAUAUAUUCUCCUCCUUUUCAUACAUGACAACAUAUUUGGUGGUAAAUAACAUUCACAAUGUCACACACCUAGCAAGUAAGAAAGCUAGGAAUUAAACCCAGUCUUGUGUGACUCUAAAGCCUAGCUCUUUUCUCUUUAUCACCCACCUAUGGCUUGCCUUCAUGAAAGGAAAAGUGUAUCCACUUAAGACUAUCUUCGCUCCCUCUCUCCAUACUAAUUAAAAAUAAAAACAUCAAAAUACACUGGAAAUAAAAAGGGAAAAAUCUGAUGAACCCACAGUAUGUGGGAAUAGCAAUUGAUUGUCAAGUAGGGAUAAGCUAACAUUAAUAUUCUUUAAAGAAAGCAACUUAAAGCAGAGUUAUUCAAAAGACAAAAUGAUUUGCAACUCCUAUUUAUGUUUAAUAUAGCAUAUUUAGUGGAAAACCAUAUAAGAAGCAGAGGUUAAAAACUACUAGAAAGGGUUAAGAAGUUCAAGACUGAGUCAUAACUGAAAGUUAAAGUUCACACUUUCUAAAACUAAUAUGAAAUCCCUUUAGCUAACAUAAGAACAUACAACCAAUAACAUCACAUAACAAAUAACAUCAGUCAAAAUAAUAAAAUGAGUCCUACUAAAACUGUUCUUUAUGUUGCCCAGUCUAAAUAACUGUUUUUUUCUACUUAACUGAUUUGUGUUGCUACUGAUAACUAUGUCCCAAUAAGUAUAAGUUAGUAUUAUUAAUUUAAUAUUUAUGACUUGAGUGACUGCUAUCAAUCUAGAACAACACAGAGAUUAAAAGAAAUAACUAUACCUUCCAAACCUAUCAAGUGCAUUUAAAUUAGCUUUUUUCUUGAUUAAAAAUUUCACCAUUCGCUGUUUUUGUCCAUGUACAGCAAGCAAAAGUGGUGUGAGGCCACCCUGUAAAACAAUAGAAACCAAAAAUAAUAUGUAACUGAAAAAAUUAUAUAUUUCUCAACUGAAUUGGAAACUUUAUAUAAAGAUCCUAUGGACUUAUACUCAUAGAAAGUAAAUAAAAUGUAGUUGUUUCCUUCUCACUCUUCCGUGCUUUCCCACACACUGCUCUUCCCUUGGAAACACCCCUCCUCUGCCUCACCACAUUAACCCUGGUCAUCUUGAAAACUCACUUUAAACAUUUACUGGUUUCAAGAAUCUUUGACUCUAUCCCAGCAUUUGUGACAUGGUAUUAUUGGAUGAUAAUAAUUUUUCCUAUCUAAACAAAAAUCUUCUUGAGGGCAGGGUCUGUAUCUUUUAUCCCUAUAUCCUCAAACCCUGUGACAAAUUGUUGUGUAUAAAGCAAGAAUUUGCAUGUAAAAUAUUUCUUCAGUUUCAGAUGUUUUACCCAAAAAAUCAAGCUCCAAUGUGCAGUAAAAAAUUGCUAUUAAGGCUCAUACUGCCCAUUUCAAGAAUUUUUCCCAUAUUUAUUCAUUUGAAAUCUAUUUAUAUUUAAUUUUCCUGAUUGUUAACUAAAUAAUCAGUUCAUAGGACUGCUGAAACUAAAUUAACAGAAUUCCCAUGUGUAUUCUUAAUAACUGCAUGGUUUUUAGUGUUUAAUACUACCAUCCUGAUUAUGCCAAAGUUCUACAAACUUAAGAGACAUACUGGAUAGUCCAUAAUAUGGCUUUAAUUGACAAAAAUGGUUUGGAAUUUGCUACAAUUUUAAUUGAGAAAACUCUGCUCUUAGUAAUGACUUACUGACUUAAGCACUUGAAUAACAAAGAGACACAAAAUCCUGAGAGGGCCAGCCUCUACUUAUUGAAAGAAUACUCACUGCAAAUUUCUAAAGACCUUCUGAAUGGCAGUGAAUAACUGAUGGUAGGAAGGAAAAGGUAUUAUUCUGUAAGCUGAUAGAUACUACCAAUAAUAUUCAUUUUAAUGUCCCAACCACAGAGAAGAAAGUCAGACUAGGCUAGGCAUGGUGGCUCACAACUGUAAUCCUAGCAUUUUGGGACACUGAGGCAGCUGAAUCGCUUGACCACAGGAAUUCAAGACCAGCCUGGGAAACAUGGCAAAAAACCCAUCUCUACUAAAAAAAUAAAUAAAUAAAUAAAAUACAAACUGGAGGUGGGAGGACCACCUGUACUUGGGGAGGUCAAGCCUGCAGUGAGCUGUGAUUGCACCACUGUGCUCCAGCCUGGGAAACAAUGUGAGACCCAGUCAGAAAGAAAGAAAGAAAGAAAGAAAGAAAGAAAGAAAGAAAGAAAGAAAGAAAGAAAGAAAGAAAGAAAGAAAGAGAGAAAGAGAAAGAGAGAGAGAAAGAAAAAAAGAAAGAAAGAAAGAAGAAAGAAAGAAGAAAGAAGAAAGAAAGAAAGAAAGAAAGAAAGAAAGAAAGAAAGAAAGAAAGAAAGAAAGAAAGAAAGAAAAAAAGAAAGAAAGAAGAAAGAAAGAAAGAAAGAAAGAGAAAGUCAAACUAAUAUUAUUGGAAAGGAAAGAUUUAAAGGAAAUUGCGCAUAUCCAACUCCAACUCUUCUAGAGAUGUCUUAAGUUUCUGAGAUAUGAGAAUUUACAUAUUACACUUAUCUAUUCAGUGGUUCUUAAGCAGAAGUGUAUCUGCAUUUUAAGGAAUUUGUUGUUGUUGUUGUUGUUGUUGUUGUUGCUGUCAUUGUUGUUACAGACAUGGUCUCAUUAUGUUGUCCAGGCUAGAUUCAAACUCUUGAGCUCAAUCAAUCCUCCCACCUCAGCCUCUCUAGCAGCUGGGAGGAAGGCAUCCAUAACCAGCAUGCCUGCCUUCAAGGAAACAUUUUUAAAUGGACAUAUCCAGGCUUUAUUAGACUUACUGUAUCAAAAUCUUCAGGAGAGGGUCUAGGCUUGUAGAUUAUUUUAAAAUGUUCCUCAAGUUACUGAGAUGCACACUUCUAGUUGAAAACUAGUGCAACAGACAAUUACUUCAGUCUCAUCUCUCACCCACAUGGCCAAUUCCCUUUAUCAUUUGAGCUUUUGGCCAAAAAAAAGGAAAGAGUGAGAGACUCAUUUGCUGAAAACACCACUUAAUUUUCCUGGAUGGGGUUAGAACAGGGCCUAGUAAACUCAAAAUCCAACUUGAUCUUAUUACUUAUAAGCUCUUUAUCUCCCACCUUCCCAUCAAGACAUUCUAGAUUUGAAAGCAGAGUUUAGACUCUAUCUAAGUGGCCAUUUCUACCAGAAUAGGAUAAUAAGUCAAAUAAUUCCCUGAUAUUCCCUCUGCUCAAGGGUUUCCCAUUACAUACCACCUAUUCACUGCCAAUCUGCUUCCUCAGAGGGCUCCUAAAAUUAAUCUCUAGGCAGUUUACAACCCACUAACUCCCUCUCCCAAACUAAAAAACUGUCAUUCUCUAAAACUGAAGAGAACCUUGUUUCACCACGCAAAGGAAAGAAAUGAACAAACAACAAAAAAAAGCACACACACACAGAAUCUCUUCAUGGUCUUUUUCCUCCAUUACCUAAUUUCCAAAUUGGCCUCGAUAUUUCUGAUUGCUCUCCUUUUCAUUUUCUAUUUCUGCCUUAUAAGGAAUCAGAAAUAUCUUAAGCCUUGCCACUAAAAGAUACAUCGCUUCAUAUCUAUUACUUUUUUUUUUUUAGGAACUUGCCAAAGCAGCAAGAUUUCUAUUCACUGAAACAUGUUUUAGUUUUCUUGGAGUUUUAAUGAAAAACUUGCUUCCAGGGCAAAUUUUGUCAUUUUACAUUGAUUAGGGAAAAGAAAACCUGGAAGGGAAAAAUUGAAAAAAAAUAAGUAUUACCUUUUACAAAUUCAGUGUUUUCAAAAAAAUUUUACCACAAGUGCAUAAAAAAAGCUGUACCUGCUGAUGCCUCUUUAAAAGUAACAAUAUUUAAAAUUAAAUCUUAGAUAAUUAAGUCAUUUCAAAAUAUUUUCAUUCAGGUUAUGCUUGAGCUUCCAAAUAUGGCAAACUGACCCUUACACAAGUCGAUGUUAAAACAAAUGUAUUUCAGUAUUUUGAAAAUAAAAUUGGUAGAUCUGUACCUUGUUUUUUGAUUCAAUGUCAGCACCGUAUAAAAGCAGUGUUUUGGCCAUUAAUUUAUCUUCAUUGUAGACUGCAUAGUGUAGAGCAGUAUUCCCAUACAUAUCUGGAAGAUUUGGAUCAGUGCCAUGUUGUAGCAACAUUAACGCACAUUCAUCCUCCUGGCAUUGUACGGCCUGUCAGUAUUAGACCAAGAAAUCAAUUGUAAAUCCUAGGAAUUCAAAAUAAACAUUCCACAGAUUUCACCAAGUUAUAUUUACAUGAGAAAACUCAUUUUUUUAAUUAUCUUAAAUCUACCUCAUGCUGAUAUAGUUGGCUACUGCAUACCUUUAUCAGAGCUGUCCUCUUUUUGCUGUCAAAGACAUGAAGUUGACAUUGUCUGUCCAGCAGAAGACUUACUACUUCUGAAUUGCCAUUGGCACAGGCCAAGUGUAGAGCAGUCCUAAGAGAGUGAGAGACUUUUUUAGGAAAUUGUAAUGCACUAUCUAAAGCCAUACCAAUGACUCAUGUAAUUGCAAAUGCUGAAUAGCAUGCUAUCCCAGCCUUCAAAACAAAUAUUUAAUAUUCCUGUGAAGAAAGCACACUAUUUAUUACCUCUUAUUCUCACUGUGUUAAUGAAAGAGCAGAGUAUCAGAACAGAAAGAGCGCAGCCCUUGGAUUCCAUUCAACUUGAGCUGGAAAACUGUUUUAAGCUCUGUCACUUCCUAGCUGUUGCUUAGUCUUUUUGUGUCUCAAUUUCGUCAUCAAUAAAAUGGGGAUGCAAAAAAUAGCUUUCUCACAGAAAACCACUAUAAUGCUUAAAUGAGACUCUACACAAAAUAUGUAGAAUAGUUCCUAACACAAAUAACAGCUCAAUAAUUGUCAGAUAUUAUAAUUUGUAUUAAUACUACUACUUAAUGAAGACUAUUUGAAAUAAGUGACAUGAUACAAUUACACCUACACUUUGAGAUAUGUCUUAAAGAUUACAGAUAACAUUGUAUUUUAUUGAUUCUAAGAUGUUCAUUGUCUCCAUGUUUUCACAUUUCUUACACUGGAAUACCGCUUAUAAUUCACAAUUUACUAUAAUUGGCAGCAUUUAAAUAACUCUCUUCUUGUGACAUAAAAUAAUGGGGCAUCAUAAAAUCUAUGGUGCCUUACAUUAAGUAGAAUAUGGUAUCUAUAACAGGUCUGGGGCAGUUCUGGUCAGAUGACUGACAUUUAGAUGAAUUUUAGUUCUUAAAAGAACUACACAUUAAGAGGGCUGAGGUGAAAACAAAAACAAAUUUCUAAAAUAAACUAAUUCUUACUUUGGUGUUCAAAAAUCUUUAAGCCAAAGAAAACAUGGAAUUCAAAUGAAUAGGUGUAGCUAAUUUUUUUCAAUACUUAGAUUUGUAGAAUGUAUGUAAAUCAGAUAUUUACAAUCAUUAAUAUUAGGAUUUAAGAUUGUUAUAAAUUUUAUUUUUUAAAAUGGAUUUAUGAAACUAUUUGUGGAAUUUUUUUUCAACUUUUAUAUUCAGGGGUACAUCUGCAGGGUGUGCAGGUUUGUUACAUAGGCAGACGUGUGCCAAGGGCAUUAGUUGUACAGGUUAUUUCAUCACACAGGUAUUAAGCCCAGUACCCAUUAGUUUUAUUUCCUGCUUCUUUCCUUCCUCCCAUCCUCCACCCUCUGAUAGGCCCCAGUGUGUGUUGCUCCCCUCUACGUGUCUGUGCAUUCUUACCAUUUAGCUCCCACCUGUAAGUGAGAACAUGCAGUAUUUGGUUUUCUAUUCCUGGGUUAGUUUGCUAAGAAUAAUGGCCUGCAGCUCCAUCCAAGUCACUGGCAAAGGACAUGCUCUUGUUCUUUUUCUAUGGCUGCAUAAUAUUCCACGCUGUUUAAGUAUCAUGUUUUAGUUCUUAAAAGUCCUAAACUAGUCUUUACCCGUGACUGUUAUAAAUUUUCAAAAAGGCAGUUAAAGUUUACGUUUUAUUAUUUUCUACCUUCCGAAACGCUUUUUUCUGAAAGGAGAGAGGAAAAGCGUCAAUUGAGAUUAAGUCCUAAUAGUCCAAUUUUAAAUCUCUCAGUUUGCUCAGGCCUGGCAGGGAAACAUGAAAUUUUCAAAGAUAGAAGGAUCCUAAGAGAUAGUAGAAUAUGCCUGCCACAUAAUAGGUGUCUGGCUUAUGUUUGAUGAAUAAAUCGAUUGAAAGAAUUGAUAAACACAGCUGAAGAAUUCAAUAUUUUCAAAGAAAACUCCUGUAUAGUACAGCAAUACAUUCACAAUAGUAAUAAUCAUUUAUAUUUGCUAUUUUAAUUUUCAUAUAUAACUAAAAUAAUUAAUCCAUACUUCUUACACAUGUUAAUCUAUAUACAAUGAAAAGAUAAUUAUAUAAUAAAAUAUAUACACAAUAAAAUCUACAGUAACAGGUAAACAGAUUCCCUCUACUUCUGAAAAGAAUGAAAGUUCACAGAAGAGGCCAGGCAUGGUGGCUCACCCCUGUAAUCUCAGCACUUUGGGAAGCCGAGGCAGGCAGAUCAAGAGGUCAGUAGUUCGAGACCAGCCUGACCACCAUGGUGAAACCCCAUCUCUACUAAAAAUACAAAAAUUAGCAUGGCGUAGUGGCACGUGCCUGUAAUCCCAGCUACUCAGGAGGCUGAGGCAGGAUAACCACUUGAACCCAGGAGGCAGAGGUUGCAGUGAGCCAAGAUCGCACCACCCCACUCCAGCCUAGGUGACAGAGUGAGACUCCGUGUCGAAAAAAAAAAAAAUUCACAGAAGAUACGCAUCCACAGAAAGAAAAAUAAAUACUAGAAUGUGAGAAAUUAGUUGUAUUUAUGCAAAUAGCAUACUCCUUCUCUUCCCAAGGAUUAUUUCAUUACUAGUGAAACUUAACUAAAACUUUUCAGACGUUCAUCGCAGAAAUCGCAGAUAAGAUAAAGGGAAAAACUUCACUUACAAUACAAAUCCCCAGAAAUAAGUUUUAUCAUAUUUUUGACAUAUUUUCAGCUAACACAAGAGCAGAUUCUGUUUGCGUAUAACUGAUUUUUUUCUCACUUGAUAUAUACCUAAGUACAUCUUUGCAUGUCAACUUAUCUCUGUAUCUAUUGACACCCUCAAUGGUUACAUAUUAUUCCAUCAUAUGGAUGGACUGAAAUUUGUUCAUAAAAUCUUUACAUGAGUUCUUCUCAAUACACUGCUAUUUAAGUAAUACUAAGAAAAGCAGAUGUAUCUAUUUCCAAAAGAUAUUUCAGUAUAAUGGAAUUGAUGGGUAAAAGGCAUAUACAUUUUUAAAAUGUGGUUCUUACCACCAAAAUGUCUAUUUGAAAACUCACAGCAACUUAAACCUUAAGAAGCUGUAUAAGUACCACUGUUCUUCAUCCUCACAAACUUUGUGGAUAGAAACAGAAUUUCAUUCCUCUUCUAACUUAGAUAGAAAAGAGUAUUUCAUUUCUCUUCUAAUUUAAAUUCCUUCUCUUAUCAGGAACACUAUGUUCUCCUAUGUGCAUAGGUCAUUGGUAGACAUGCAAAAAAGUACUUUGCCCAAUUUUAAAUUGAGCUUGUUUUAUUUAGUUGUCUUCUUGUUGAUUUGAAAGAAUUCUCUGUAAAAUGAAAAUACAUGUUUUGCAAGUGUUUUGUCCUUUGUUAAUUUUUUUCUUAUUUACAGGGUGUUUUAAUUUUUAUUUUGCCAAACCACCCUUCAGAAUACUUGUUUUUGAGGUUCUUAGGUCUCUGUGAACAUAAAAUAUAUCUGCAUAUAAAAAUAGACAUUUGUGUUUCCUUCUGGCACUUUUCUUAAUUUGUAUAUUUAAAAUUUUUAAUGUAUACCCCAGGAA